AACUAUGAGAGUUAAACACACACAGUCUGCUAGGCUUCACAUAAAACAGAGUUAGAGGGAGGAUUUAUUGACUCACUUAGGGAAUAAAAUACAAUCUAAUCAUUUUACUCUACAUCCGUGCUUCGGCGCUGUACGAGGGAAACCUGCGUGUUUAUGUGUGCAUAACUGCACUGUAAGACUGUUCUGUAAUCUCAACAGUAAAACACUGUAAAAUGCACAGUAAAAUGCUGUACAUGUUGUUUUACAGCAUUAAUGCUGUAGAUAGCACUGUAUUACGGGAACAGUGCUGAAAAGUACUGUUAUUAACUGUAAUUGGAAGCCUCCUGUAAAAAUGACUCUAACACACUAUUUUUACAGUAACAGCUUAUGCCUACUGUAGAUUCAAAUGAUCAGUUUCAGGCGCCAACCUCAUGCUGUUAGGUGACACAUGAAGCUCAGACUAUUUUUGUAAAUAUCUUCUUGAAACGGCUGUGAAGUGGAAGCAUAUUUUCAGCAGCUGGUGGAUUGACGGGACGCAUUCUACACGUGAACCAAGCCAUGGGCCGUUAAACUACUCGCAAGCGGCUAAAGUCGAUGCUAAUGACCAGCGCACCGGCGUCGUAUUGAGGUGCCUGCCGACCUAAGGUUCCUAGUUCAAAUCAACCCAAGAAGAUGAACCCUGAAGGUGGGACAAAGUGCUUGACAAGGUGGCCCAGAGGAAGCCAGCUGUUCUCAACCGCUGCAUUGCCCCAUUCUACCAAGAGCUCACAGAGUUUGAAUGAAUGAAUGAAUGAAUGAAGAGUAACAGCCCAGGUGUGCUCGGUCUCUGAUUCUAUUAUGAAUUUUUCUAUGCUUGUCCUGGGGGUGAAAAGAGCUGACAAGAUCCGAACGGAGGAGGAUUGUUAUGGAGACCCAUGAGGAACACCUGAUGCCGUGCUGACUUCUCUCUCCUGGAUGCUCUGCUCUUCAAAUGGAGUUGCCCCUGAUCAUAGAUCUAGGAUUGUACCCAAUCCCAAUUUCAACUCCCUCUCUCGCUUUGUCCCUCUCUCUCCCCCACACAAAAUAUUUUUUAGAUUUGUGUUGUAAUGAUGCUCUUUUUUGGUUACAUAUGUGUUAACUGUUUAUACUUCUAUUGUCAAUUCUGUUGUUUAAUUUGUUGUUAAUGUUGUUACCAAUUUGAAUAAAUACAUUUUAUGUA